rnacentral:rRNA from 1 species
AUACGGAGGAUGCGAGCGUUAUCCGGAUUUAUUGGGUUUAAAGGGUGCGUAGGCUGUGCGUUAAGUCAGGGGUGAAAUGCCGUCGCUCAACGACGGAGCUGCCCUUGAUACUGGCGUGCUGGAGUACGGAUGCCGUUGGAGGAAUGAGUGGUGUAGCGGUGAAAUGCUUAGAUAUCACUCAGAACACCGAUUGCGAAGGCAUCUGACGAAUCCGUCACUGACGCUGAGGCACGAAAGCGUGGGGAUAGAACAGGAUUAGAUACCCUGGUAUUUCACGCCGUAAACGAUGAUGACUAACCGUCGGCGAUAGACAGCCGGUGGCCAAGCGAAAGCGAUAAGUCAUCCACCUGGGGAGUACGUCGGCAACGAUGAAACUCAAAUGAAUUGACGGGG